rnacentral:rRNA from 1 species
AGUGAACGCUGGCGGUAGGCCUAACACAUGCAAGUCGAACGGCAGCACAGUAAGAGCUUGCUCUUACGGGUGGCGAGUGGCGGACGGGUGAGGAAUACAUCGGAAUCUACUUUUUCGUGGGGGAUAACGUAGGGAAACUUACGCUAAUACCGCAUACGACCUACGGGUGAAAGCAGGGGAUCUUCGGACCUUGCGCGAUUGAAUGAGCCGAUGUCGGAUUAGCUAGUUGGCGGGGUAAAGGCCCACCAAGGCGACGAUCCGUAGCUGGUCUGAGAGGAUGAUCCGCCACACUGGAACUGAGACACGGUCCAGACCCCUACGGGAGGCAGCAGUGGGGAAUAUUGGACAAUGGGCGCAAGCCUGAUCCAGCCAUACCGCGUGGGUGAAGAAGGCCUUCGGGUUGUAAAGCCCUUUUGUUGGGAAAGAAAAGCAGCAGGUUAAUACCCCGCUGUUCUGACGGUACCCAAAGAAUAAGCACCGGCUAACUUCGUG